GGGGGGUGGGGGGGGGUGAAAUAAGAGAACGAGAUGGUGUGAGGGAGACUCACUGAAAGAGCAGUGGGAGGAGUGAAGUGAAAAUGUUUAGUAUGUCAGCGGGGCCAUUCAGCUUAUAGGUGCACCUCUGCUCCCAGGACACAGCAAAUGAUCGUCACACAAGACGAGGUGCACACAGAGGCACCUUACACCAAGGACUUUCUAUCAAGGAGAAAACUCUUCUCUUCUUUGCUGCUGUUUUUUGUCCAACCCCUUAAUCUCAACGUUUUUCAUGGAAAGAGAAAAAGACCACCUUCUAACUGCUGUAAAAAAAAAAAAAAAAAAAAAAAAAAAAAAGGGGAGCUGUAUUCCUCCCCUGAUCCUCCUGGUUUCUCCCAGUUGUCUGGAGGACAGCGGGGGUCAUUGUAACAGUCGACUAUGGUAUGGACUGCAAAACUUUUGUUAUGUUCAGGGGCGGGGGGACUGGCUGUUCAGCCUUACAUGGCAACCAAAGGAAAGCCUUGAGUGUUGAACUGAAUUUACACUCAAAGUCACCUUACGGUGCAGACUACCAUACUUGGGAGAGAGAACGGUGAGGAAAAAUGUUCUGCUCAUAACUUCCUGACCUUGGCAAAAGUUUUCCACGUUUGCCUCUGAAACAGUGAUUCCAAAAUGCUUUGCUAAAGCUGGUAAAAUGGAACCAAAUCACCUCUUGAAUGGAUUUGGUCCCCUUCAACCAGCUGUAGCUAUGCUUUGAUGACACCAGGAGCUGAGAUGGAGAUGCCUUCAACACAAUCACUGCAACAACAGCACGCCACUACUUGAUGAAGGCUGGCUUAUGGCUUCCCUCUACCAACAACAUCUGGAGUGGUUCGGAGAUUGUCAUGCUCAAUGUUAAAUAUGUCUAAUUUCUGACUAAUAAAAAAACCAAUCCCUGGUUCAAAACUU